rfam:Camelus ferus unplaced genomic scaffold scaffold976, whole genome shotgun sequence.
GAGGGUAUAGCUCAAAUGGUAGAGUGCAUGCUUAGCAUGCAUGAGGUCCUCGGUUCAUUCCCCAGUACCUCCU